UACGAAGGGGGCUAGCGUUGUUCGGAUUUACUGGGCGUAAAGCGCACGUAGGCGGACUUUUAAGUCAGGGGUGAAAUCCCGGGGCUCAACCCCGGAACUGCCUUUGAUACUGGAAGUCUUGAGUUCGAGAGAGGUGAGUGGAAUUGCGAGUGUAGAGGUGAAAUUCGUAGAUAUUCGCAAGAACACCAGUGGCGAAGGCGGCUCACUGGCCCGGUACUGACGCUGAGGUGCGAAAGCGUGGGGAGCAAACAGG
rnacentral:rRNA from 1 species